GUGCUCACUUCAGCAGCACAUAUACUAAAAUCAGAACCAUACAGAUAAGAUUAACAUGGCCCCUGCAUGAGGAUGACAACUCAAAUUUGCGAAGUGUUCCAUAUGAAA